AUUGAACGCUGGCGGCAGGCCUAACACAUGCAAGUCGAGCGAGCGGCGGAAGGGUGAGUAAUGGAUGGUGAUCUGCCAGAUAGAGGGGGCUAACUACUGGAAACGGUGGAUAAUACUGCGUACUGUAGGAUGAACACAUAUGGGAUUAGCUAGUAGGUAAGGUAAUGGCUUACCCAGGCGACGAUCCCUAGCUGGUCUGAUAGGCUGAUCAGCCACACUGGAACUGAGACACGGCCCAGACUCCUACGGGAGGCAGCAGUGGGGAAUAUUGCACAAUGGGCGAAAGCCUGAUGCAGCCAUGCCGCGUGUGUGAAGAAGGCCCUAGGAUUGUAAAGUACUUUAAGUCGGGAGGCGUUACCGACAGAAUAAGCACCGGCUAACUCCGUGCCAGCAGCCGCGGUAAUAC
rnacentral:rRNA from 1 species